rnacentral:rRNA from 1 species
CGGACGGGUGAGUAAUGUCUGGGAAACUGCCUGAUGGAGGGGGAUAACUACUGGAAACGGUAGCUAAUACCGCAUAACGUCGCAAGACCAAAGAGGGGGACCUUCGGGCCUCUUGCCAUCGGAUGUGCCCAGAUGGGAUUAGCUAGUAGGUGGGGUAACGGCUCACCUAGGCGACGAUCCCUAGCUGGUCUGAGAGGAUGACCAGCCACACUGGACUGAGACACGGUCCAG